rnacentral:rRNA from 1 species
UACAGAGGGGGCAAGCGUUAUUCGGAAUUAUUGGGCGUAAAGGGCUCGUAGGCGGCCAACUAAGUCAGACGUGAAAUCCCUCGGCUUAACCGGGGAACUGCGUCUGAUACUGGAUGGCUUGAGUUCGGGAGAGGGAUGCGGAAUUCCAGGUGUAGCGGUGAAAUGCGUAGAUAUCUGGAGGAACACCGGUGGCGAAGGCGGCAUCCUGGACCGAUACUGACGCUGAGGAGCGAAAGCCAGGGGAGCAAACGGG